rnacentral:lncRNA from 1 species
CUGGAACGCAAAGGCGCAUGAGCCACCGCCGCGUCAGGCUCUGCUACGGGUGGGGGGCGCGUGAUCUCUGGCCCAGGAGGCGUGGAAUGACUGGAAAGACAAGUCACUGGACCCGCACACGCCCUGGCCCAGUCGCGGAGAGGACACCGUCUGGUAUUUGGAGAUCAUGUGAGGGGUCCCCAUCACCCAGUCACACUUCUGAAGCAUCCUGGUUCUCACCCUAAUUUAGGGCUCAACCGGUCCGCCUAACGCUGAUGCAAAGGGAGCCGCCUUGACUGCUUGCUUACUCUCACAGCCAUUAGAACAGUCGGCCCAUCUAACCCUCACCCCACUGAUAAGCUAUGGGUUUUACUAAUCCUGUACUACAUAUGAGGAAACUGAGGCAUCCGAGGCCUCAUGGCUAACCAGUGGUGGAUGGUAAAAGGAGCCCAUAUCCGUUUUGACUUUAAGAUCUUAUUCUCUUCCCCAUUAUUGUAUCCUUCCUUUCUAGGAGCAGGAAUGAAGAAGGCAGGAAAGGAGCGUUGUCUGCAGCUUUGGGUCUAAAUUGUGGGCAAAAAUAGGUGAUAGUAAGUGUAAAACUGGAUGAUCUUGGACCUUGGUGGGGUGGAGUGGCUUAGAGAUACUGAGAGAAGCAAGGUCCCCAGAUUUACAUAUAUUAAGCUGGGGACAUGGCUCAAUGGUUAAGUGCUUGUCUAGCAUGUCAAGGCCCUGGGUUCAAGUCCUAGUAUCAAGAAGAAGAAAACAAGAAAUGAAUGUUCAUUGUUAGGGAACACACACACACACACACACACACACACGACCCCACCUUGCAGCAAAACUUAUAAGCUGUGUACCCUUGCCAAAUGCACAUCCUCAGCCUUCUUCCCCUUUACUCCAGUCAGGAUUGAAACCAAACUGCUUUGAUCAUAGUGACCAUAAUGGCCUACGUGUUUAAAAUCUUGUGUUCUCUUCUGUCCCCUGCCCUUUUUCUUCCUCCAUCUCUCAAAGAUUCUAGGGACAGUUGUUCACAUGCUGCAUCUGGGCUUACCUUCUGACACCCAGUCAGAACCAGAUGCUUCACUCUAAUGGCUUUCCACUAACUUCACUCCCCAGGCUCCUCAACUCCUGUUUUCUAUACUGGUGACUGCUGGAGUAUUCCAGGGCUACCUUCCACCCUAUUCUCUGAUCUUGUUACAUUCUCUUCCUGGGUAACCCCUCCAGCCCCACGACUGUUAUGUCAUCUGCACAGGGUGACUCACAAAGAUAAUUCUACAGCAAGGACCUCUCCCAGAGCUCCAGACUUAUUCCAACUGCCAUUUGUCAUCUCCAUGAAGUGAGAGCAUUGCAUACUUAAUAUAUACAACACUGGAUUCAACUUUUUUUCCCCCCAAUUUUUUCCUUGUCCAGAUGUGUCAGUAAAUGGUAUCCUAUUCACUUUAAUCAUCCUUGAUUCCUUCUUGCUACUCAUCCUCACAUUAAUUAAUCCAUCAACAAGCAGUCAGUCUGACCUAUCAAAUUGACCCUGAGUAUUGAUGACAUUUCUCUCUCCAUGUCUUUGGACACAUCCUAGCCAAGCCACCAAUAACUUGGCCAGAGCCAGUACUACUGUUUCCAUUCUUUUCUACCCCCAUGCAUGUUGACCCCUAUGAUGUCUUUUUUGGUACUGGGGAUUGAACCCAGGGGCACUUAACCACUGAGCCAUAUCCCUAUCCCUUUUUUAAUAUUUUAUUUAGAGACAGGGUUUCAUUGAGUUACUUAGGGCCUCGGUAAGUUGCUGACACUGGCUUUGAACUUGCAAUCCUUCUGCCUCAGCUCCCAAGUUGCUGGGAUUACAGGCCUGUGCCUCCAUUUCCAGCUUAUAAUGUCUUUUUCAACCAGGAACCAAAGUCAUGUGUUUAAAAUACAAACCAGACUGUCUUUUCCUGGCUCAAAGCCAUUUGCCAGUUUCUAGUCUUCGAAUAAAAUUUGUACUAACAAUGAACACCAGAUUUUAAGAUCCCUGCUUCCUUCUCUAUCCCGUAAGACUUUCCUCAGUACACUGCUGAGCACUCACUCUGGCAUGCUUUCCUCGAAAAAUGCCAAGCUCUUUCCCACCCAAGAGCCUUUGCUCUUUCUUUUUCUUCGAUCUGGAAUAUUCUCCAGACCUGUUUCUUGCUGCCUUUUCUCCCUCAAUGAGGUUCAUCUCAGAUAUUGCCUCCUCAGAGGGCUUUCCUCUGACCAUUUUUUCUCAAGUUCCCAAGUCACUAUUAUUUGGCUCUGUUGAUUUCCUAUUCUUUCUCUUCUCACUAGACCAAACUACAAAAGGGGAUAGUCUGUGUCUAUGUUGUUCCCUCAUAUUUACAGUGCCUAGAAUGGUGCCCUUCAAAUAGUAGGCAUGUAAUUAGGUAUUUAUUGCAUAGAAAUCCUAAAGAUGUCCAUGGUUCACAUUUUGUAUAGCAGUACAGAGAGUUUAGCUUUAUAUGCUUUAUAUAUCAUUUCUCAAAUGUUUCCCACCUCUCUAUCUACCGCAGUUCACACACAGUAUCUCUCGCCUAAUUACAUCAGCCUCAUAUCUGGGCUUCUGUCUUUAGAUAUCCAGCAGACUUAGAUAUCCAACAGAGAUGUUUAAAGCAGGAAGUGAUAUGAUUACACUUGCUUUUGUAGGACAAUAACAGCCCUCCACUGGAUAAGGGAAGAGGGUCAGAGACCAGAGACAAGAAAAGAGAGAAACUAUAAGAUAAGGGCCUGAGCCAGUGAGCUGGCUAUGGGUUUAGGUGUUAUGAAGUCUGAGGCUGAAUCAAUGGUUUGGGCUAGAGGCAGGGGGUAAGAAGAAAUUGCCUGCUACCUAGAAACACUUGAAAAGCCAAUAUCCCUGCACUAUAAAAACCCAUUGUCCCCAGGCAGGUGAGACCAAAGCCAGUGAGACCAGGGCAACCGUGAUACCUUUUCCACAGACUAAUUGUAAUGGCCCCUCCACUACCCUCUCUGGUCCCAUUUCAUGUGGACCAGAUAAUGAUCACAAAGUGCUUUAAGUAUAGGUUAUCUCUUACAAAGCUCCCAAUAAUCCUGGGAGAUGGUUGGAAUAUUCUUUCUGGGUUUCUUUCUUUUCUUUUCUUUUCUUUUUUUUAACCAUACCAUAGAUUGAAUCCAGGAGCAGUUUACCACUGAGCCACAUCCCUAAUCCUCUUUUUUUUUUUUUUUUUUUGAGUUUCAAAACUAAGUGUCUCACUAAGUUUCCAAGGGUGGCUUGAAACUUGCAAUCCUCCUGCUUCAGUCUCCCUACUGGCUGGAAUUACAGACAUGCACCACUGCACCCAACUUUGGAGUAGUUAUUGUAUGUGCCACAAUUCAGACAUGACAAACUAAGGGGAAAGUACCCACACAACACUGAGACUUGUAUCUUUGAUUUCUUUGGAUUCCAAACUCCACACCUAGAGUUUGUUAUUCAUUGAUUCUCGCACACACAGGCACAUGUGGACAUUGAAAAGUGAUGGACAGUCAUACAAUUUACACUCCAUAGCUCCCUGACAAAAAUCAAUCAACAAAUAUUUAUUAAACCCUUACAAUGAUUCAAGGAAACAAACUAUGAUUCCUGGGGCUGGGGUUUUAAUUCAUGGUGGAGCACUUACCUAGCAAGUGUGAGGCACUGGGUUUGAUCCUCAGCACUACCUAAAAAUAAAAGGGUUUAAAAAUAUUCUUGCUGUUAAGGGAUCAACUGUUUAGUCAGAGACUUAAAAGCAACACAUGUGACAAAUAUUAUGGAAUAUAAGAAAUCUAUCAUUAACAAAUCAAUGUGUCUGUGUCCUUGUCUGUUUUUUGGUUUGGGGUUUUAUGUAUUAGGGAUUGAACCCAGGGAUGCUUUUCCUCUGGGUCCACCCCCAGACCUUUCUCACUUUAUAUUUUGAGACAAAGUCUUCCUUAGUUUCCCAGGCUGUACUCAGACUUUUCAUCCUCCUUCCUCAGGCUCCAGAGUUGCUAGGAUUACA